UAGGGAAUCUUCGGCAAUGGACGAAAGUCUGACCGAGCAACGCCGCGUGAGUGAAGAAGGUUUUCGGAUCGUAAAACUCUGUUGUUAGAGAAGAACAAGGACGUUAGUAACUGAACGUCCCCUGACGGUAUCUAACCAGAAAGCCACGGCUAACUACGUGCCAGCAGCCGCGGUAAUACGUAGGUGGCAAGCGUUGUCCGGAUUUAUUGGGCGUAAAGCGAGCGCAGGCGGUUUCUUAAGUCUGAUGUGAAAGCCCCCGGCUCAACCGGGGAGGGUCAUUGGAAACUGGGAGACUUGAGUGCAGAAGAGGAGAGUGGAAUUCCAUGUGUAGCGGUGAAAUGCGUAGAUAUAUGGAGGAACACCAGUAGCGAAGGCGGCUCUCUGGUCUGUAACUGACGCUGUGGCUCGAAAGCGUGGGGAGCAAACAGG
rnacentral:rRNA from 1 species